GACCAGACUCCUACGGGAGGCAGCAGUGGGGAAUAUUGCACAAUGGGGGAAACCCUGAUGCAGCGACGCCGCGUGAGCGAAGAAGUACCUCGGUAUGUAAAGCUCUAUCAGCAGGGAAGAAAAUGACGGUACCUGACUAAGAAGCCCCGGCUAACUACGUGCCAGCAGCCGCGGUAAUACGUAGGGGGCAAGCGUUAUCCGGAUUUACUGGGUGUAAAGGGAGCGUAGACGGCAGUGCAAGUUCGGAGUGAAAGCCCGGGGCUCAACCCUGGGACUGCUCUGGAAACUGUAAAGCUGGAGUGCGGGAGGGGCAGGCGGAAUUCCUGGUGUAGCGGUGAAAUGCGUAGAUAUCAGGAGGAACACCGGCGGCGAAGGCGGCCUGCUGGACCGUAACUGACAUUGAGGCUCGAAAGCGUGGGGAGCAAACAGGAUUAGAUACCCGAGUA
rnacentral:rRNA from 1 species